ACAAAUUACCAUUGGAUAACCUGACUCAAUUUGUUGUAUGUUCCUAUCACUUCUAGCUUAGCUCUAUAUCUUUGUGUAGUGUGGUUGCUUUCAGGAAGUCAGCUCUGGUGUUCCUUAUGGCCAUUUGUCUCAGGUCAGAUUCUAUGCUCCAGCUCAACAUAACUGCUGCUAUGCUUCUAGUGGACAGCAAACCCAUCCCCACCCCGGCUCAGCACCAAGAAGCUCCAUUCUUUCCUCCUACAAUGUACAUCUGACAAGAUGGAUGUUUCCACCAUCAGUUUCAAAACUACAAGAUGUCGGAGUCAUAGAAAAUAGUCCACCUGAAAAAGAUAUGGAGAGUUUAAUGGAUUGCAAGAUUUGGCUAAUUUCAGCCCAAGAGAUUUUUGGAUCCCAAACAUGUCAUCCAGUGUGUCAGCUGUCCCUUCCAGCUUCAU